rnacentral:rRNA from 1 species
UACGUAGGAGACAAGCGUUGUUCGGAAUUACUGGGCGUAAAGGGCGCGUAGGCGGCUCGCUAAGUCGGAUGUGAAAACUCUGGGCUCAACCCAGAGCCUGCAUUCGAAACUGACGAGCUGGAGUUCUGGAGGGGAAAGCGGAAUUCCUGGUGUAGCGGUGAAAUGCGUAGAUAUCAGGAGGAACACCGGUGGCGAAGGCGGUUCUCUGGGCCUGUACUGACGCUGAGGAACGAAAGCGUGGGGAGCGAACAGG